rnacentral:tRNA from 1 species
GGCGCAUUCGUCUAGUGGCUAGGACAUCAGGUUUUCAGCCUGAGAACAAGGGUUCGAUUCCCUUAUGCGCUACCA